rnacentral:rRNA from 1 species
AUUGAACGCUGGCGGCAGGCUUAACACAUGCAAGUCGAGCGGAGCGAGGGUGCUUGCACCUUAGCUUAGCGGCGGACAGGUGAGUAAUGCUUAGGAAUCUGCCUAUUAGUGGGGGACAACAUUCCGAAAGGAAUGCUAAUACCGCAUACGCCCUACGGGGGAGAGCAGGGGAUCUUCGGACCUUGCGCUAAUAGAUGAGCCUAAGUCGGAUUAGCUAGUUGGUGGGGUAAAGGCCUACCAAGGCGACGAUCUGUAGCGGGUCUGAGAGGAUGAUCCGCCACACUGGGACUGAGACACGGCCCAGACUCCUACGGGAGGCAGCAGAGGGGAAUUUUGGACAAUGGGCGAAAGCCUGAUCCAGCCAUGCCGCGUGUCUGAAGAAGGCCUUCGGGUUGUAAAGGACUUUUGUCAGGGAGGAAAUCCCUAGUGCUAAUAACACUGGGGGAUGACAGUACCUGAAGAAUAAGCACCGGCUAACUACGUGCCAGCAGCCGCAGUAA